UAAUGUUAAAACGUGAAGGAAAAAUGGGUGACUCAUUCAUUUAUAGAUAAAGAAGACAAAUUCAUUAUCGAUAAAGAAAAUGAGAAAAUUGAAAAGAAAAACUUAAAAGAUAGAGAAACGGGCGUUGAACCUCAAAGCAUGCGAUGGUGAUGAUUGAUUGAGUGUGGAUGAGACGUGGCGAUCGGUGGUGUAGCAAAGCGGAGGGUCAU
rnacentral:lncRNA from 1 species